rnacentral:tRNA from 1 species
GGAGUUAUGCCUGAUAAAAGGACUAUCUUGAUAGGAUAAAAAAUGAGAGAAAAACUCUCUAACUCUU